UAAGGGACGACAUCAAAAGAUCGAUGUAGGAUAAAAAAACUUAAAUCAAAUAGUUUGGGGGUGGGGGGGGUCAACAUUGCUGCAAGUUUUGUUAAUCUAAAAUCGAUUUUACAUAUAUCCCUAUUGGUCAAUCAAUUUUUCCCAAAUUAAGUUAAGAGGGGGUGUGGGGGUCAGUGAAAAAAACUAUGUGAAUUAAGUUUUUUAUCCUUCAUUGAACUUUUGAUGUCGUCCCUAAUGAAG
rnacentral:lncRNA from 1 species